CUACUAUUCUUUGGAUUGCCCAACUCUAACUUUUGCCCAUAAUCCUGAUCCGGAGGCAAGCUCGCUGAUCUGUCUCCACAACUAGGUGAUGUUCCCUUUGAUCCUGAAUUAAAUAUAAAGAUUCAGUGGAGAGUUGAAGUAUGCUGAAGAUUUAUCACAACCAACGGGAAACCGGGGAAAUAAAUUCAGGUGGUAACCAGGAACUUUCAUGGAGCAGAGAGGCUUCCCCACAGCAUUUGCUCCUGGAAUGCUAAGAUGUUCCAGUUUUGUUGUGCAAAUGGCUCAAGCAGAUGAAACUGUGUUUAUGUCACCUGAGGAAAUAACCUUCAAAGAGACUAAGUUUGCCCUGUGUCCAGAGAGAGAGAUGCGGUGAACAGAGCAAUCUGAAACAUAGUGUGUGUCCCAUCUGCAGUCUUUCUUUCCUCCACCAAGCUGCUUCUGGUCAUUUCCCAACAAUGUAUCAUGGAAACAUAUGUAUGUAACGUAUUUUAAGGGCAAAUGAGAAAUGCUCCAUCCUCCUGCUUCAAGAAGUUAAUGGGAUCCAAUAAAUUCUUUUGCAAAUGUU